AUACGGAGGGUGCAAGCGUUGUCCGGAUUUAUUGGGUUUAAAGGGUGCGUAGGUGGUUUUGUAAGUCUGACCUGAAAGUGGGCCGCUUAACGGCACAGGGUGGUUGGAUACUGCAGAACUUGAAGAGGGUGGAGGCCGCCGGAACGGAUCGUGUAGCGGUGAAAUGCAUAGAGAUGAUCCAGAACCCCGAUUGCGAAGGCAGGCGGCUACGCCCCACUUGACACUGAGGCACGAGAGCAUGGGGAGCAAACAGGAUUAGAUACCCUGGUAGUCCAUGCCGUAAACGAUGAUAACUCGCUGCUGGCCCUACGGGUCAGUGGCUUAGCGAAAGCGGUAAGUUAUCCACCUGGGGAGUACGCCGGCAACGGUGAA
rnacentral:rRNA from 1 species